GUGAAUUCGGUUCAGGAGUCUCGUUCUGGUAAAAUGUCCUUUGCUGUUCCCUCUGUCCAUAUCUGUCGUAUUUUCAAUUCCCAAAGAUCCUCCAGAAUCAGGAAAACAUUUAAAUCCCUUCAGCAGUAGGAGCACAAUGGUCCUGCAGACUCCAGACGUCACAGACGUGAUCUCAAACCCAGAAAUGUUUUCUUGAUGCUGCUAAAGAGGAUGUUUCUUUAGGCGCAGGUGACUUUCUCAGGUAAAUUAGAGUCGCUAACGAUGCUCUGAUUGUAUGAAACGCUUGGACUGAAGCAGCUGUUCGAUCAUUUCAAAAAGUUCCAUUUAGAUGAACAGAUAAACGUAGUGAUGAUAAAAGAAUCCAAUCAAACUCACAGCUUCAUUACAACCGGUGUUACUCCGCCCCUCUUCCCGUUCAUAAGAUUUCUUUGUGCUUUCACUUUAAAGUUUCACUUGAAGCAUCUUCAGAUCAGCCUGGAAACAUCCUCUGAUCCUAACAUGGGGCAUGAAUACAGAAGAUUCAGCUUCACGACACGUGCAGCACGUUUCUAUCCCACAGAGGCAGCGGGAAGCUGAAACAAACCAAAUCUGGAAUGGAUCCAGAAUCAAGCAAAAUUAAAUUAAAUUAAAGCCAAAAACCUUCUGGUUUAAUCAUUUAGUUCAGUCCUUUCAAUCAGAUUUUAUUCAAAGUUUGAAAAAAUAGUUUAAACUCUUCAGAAUUAAAGAAUGAAGAACUUUCUUGUUUUUAGAUGAUAAAUACAGAUAAUUCUGAAAUCUCUGCUUACAGCCUGGACUAAAGCUAAGAAUAAAACACUAAAAUCAACAUUAUAAUGUAUUUAAAGUAAAGUGACAGAAGAACCUCGACAGAUAUUUGUAAUUAUUUAAAAUAAUCCUUAUGCAGAUGAUGUAACAUUUAUCCUUUCAUCUUCUGGUCUUUUUUACCGUCAUCUUUAGUGUUUCAUUGGCUCUUGUGUUCAAGUUUGAUCAAAAACUGUUAAUAAUUGUCUUUAGAAUAGAAAUAACAAAAAAACUUGAAUUUUAAUAUUACAGGAUUGUCUUUUAAAUCAAAUCUUUUUCAACCUGAAUAGAAACAUUUGAACUGUUUUCAGCCGACCGGCACUGUAAAACAGUCUCUGUAGAGUUAAGGAAAAAAAAUCUUCAAUUAAAAAAAAAAUAAAAA